rnacentral:rRNA from 1 species
GAUUAAGUUAUUAAGGGCGCACGGUGGAUGCCUUGGCACUAGAAGCCGAUGAAGGACGUUACUAACGACGAUAUGCUUUGGGGAGCUGUAAGUAAGCUUUGAUCCAGAGAUUUCCGAAUGGGGAAACCCAGCAUGAGUUAUGUCAUGUUAUCGAUAUGUGAAUACAUAGCAUAUCAGAAGGCACACCCGGAGAACUGAAACAUCU